AUACGAAGGGGGCAAGCGUUGUUCGGAUUUACUGGGCGUAAAGCGCAUGUAGGCGGCUAAUCAAGUCGGAUGUGAAAUCUCGGGGCUCAACCUCGAAACUGCAUUCGAUACUGGUUGGCUAGAGUUCGGGAGGGGGUAGCGGAAUUCCGCGUGUAGCAGUGAAAUGCGUAGAUAUGCGGAGGAACACCAGAGGCGAAGGCGGCUACCUGGACCGAUACAGACGCUGAGAUGCGAAAGCGUGGGGAGCAAACAGGAUUAGAAACCCGAGUAGUCC
rnacentral:rRNA from 1 species